rnacentral:lncRNA from 1 species
GAUGAAUUUUUCAGAGCUGCCUGGGGGUUGCUCUGAGUUCUCUGUCAGGUUUCUCUCCAGGUUUUGUCAAGGGUUUUGUUUCAAGGAAACCUCAGAGUAUUUUGCUUCUCUUCCUUUUUUUGUCUGAUCUCCUUCUUUUAUAACCUGAUUUUCAUGGCUUUGUGGGCUCAAAUGAGAGAGGUCCAAGUCCAAGUUUUUUCUAUUAUAUUUUAUUUAUUUUUUUAUUAUUAUUUUUU